GAUGAACGCUGGCGGCGUGCCUAAUACAUGCAAGUCGAGCGAAUGGAUUAAGAGCUUGCUCUUAUGAAGUUAGCGGCGGACGGGUGAGUAACACGUGGGUAACCUGCCCAUAAGACUGGGAUAACUCCGGGAAACCGGGGCUAAUACCGGAUAACAUUUUGAACCGCAUGGUUCGAAAUUGAAAGGCGGCUUCGGCUGUCACUUAUGGAUGGACCCGCGUCGCAUUAGCUAGUUGGUGAGGUAACGGCUCACCAAGGCAACGAUGCGUAGCCGAACUGAGAGGGUGAUCGGGCACACUGGGACUGGGGCACGGCCCAGACUCCUACGGGAGGCAGCAGUAGGGAAUCUUCCGCAAUGGACGAGAGUCUGACGGAGCAACGCCGCGUGAGUGAUGAAGGCUUUCGGGUCGUAAAACGCUGUUGUUAGGGAAGAACAAGUGCUAGUUGAAUAAGCUGGCACCUUGACGGUACCUAACCAGAAAGCCACGGCUAACUACGUGCCAGCCGCCGCGGUAA
rnacentral:rRNA from 1 species